CCCGAGGGGUCCGGCCGAGCCCCGGGCCGGCAGCCCCGCGUGCCUGCGGCCGCAGGGCACGGACAGGUGAAGGCCACCAUCCCGGUGGGGUGGACCUACCGGAACAGGGAUGUCGGGGCUCCGUCGGAUGGUGUCCCGGAGCCUCCCGGCGCGCAGCUCCAUUCCCGGAACAGAUGAUCUUUGCACAGCGGCAGUGCGCCGCGCCUGUGCAGACAGAUAGUCGCGGCGCCCGCCCAGCCCUGCGGGGGUGGGGGUCGCCCCUGGCCUUCCCGCCCCGCAGCCGGAGGACCUGAUGAACAUGCAGCACUGCAAUCUCUUGUGCCUGCCCGAGAACUACCAGAUGAAGUACUACUUCUACCACGGCCUCUCCUGGCCCCAGCUCUCUUACAUCGCAGAGGAUGAGAACGGGAAGAUUGUGGGGUACGUCCUCGCCAAAAUGUGAGUCACGAAGGAAGGAGACAGAAACCGUAUGCCAGAGUUGGGGGUGGGGCGUGGAUUUGGGGGGUGG